rnacentral:rRNA from 1 species
GAUGAACGCUGGCGGCGUGCCUAAUACAUGCAAGUCGAGCGAACAGACGAGGAGCUUGCUCCUCUGACGUUAGCGGCGGACGGGUGAGUAACACGUGGAUAACCUACCUAUAAGACUGGGAUAACUUCGGGAAACCGGAGCUAAUACCGGAUAAUAUAUUGAACCGCAUGGUUCAAUAGUGAAAGACGGUUUUGCUGUCACUUAUAGAUGGAUCCGCGCCGCAUUAGCUAGUUGGUAAGGUAACGGCUUACCAAGGCAACGAUGCGUAGCCGACCUGAGAGGGUCGACGGCCAGACUGGAACUGAGACACGGUCCAGACUCCUACGGGAGGCAGCAGUAGGGAAUCUUCCGCGAUGGGCGAAAGCUUGACGGAGCAACGCCGCGUGAGUGAUGAAGGUCUUCUGAUCGUAAAACUCUGUUAUUAGGGAAGAACAAAUGUGUAAGUAACUAUGCACGUCUUGACGGUACCUAAUCAGAAAGCCACGGCUAACUACGUG